AGGCUGCAGUCGAGAUCUUCGCAUGGGCGAAAGCCUGACUCAUGCGCACGCCGUGUGAGCGAUGAAGGCCUUAGGGUUCGUAAAGCUCUUUCGCCKGGGAACAAUAAGAGGUUGGCUAACGUACACAGACUACAUUUGAGGGUACUCAGGAAAAGAACCACCGGCUAACUCA
rnacentral:rRNA from 1 species